rnacentral:rRNA from 1 species
AUUGAACGCUGGCGGCAUGCCUUACACAUGCAAGUCGAACGGUAACGCGGGGCAACCUGGCGACGAGUGGCGAACGGGUGAGUAAUAUAUCGGAACGUGCCCAGUAGUGGGGGAUAGCCCGGCGAAAGCCGGAUUAAUACCGCAUGAGACCUGAGGGUGAAAGCGGGGGAUCGCAAGACCUCGCGCUAUUGGAGCGGCCGAUAUCAGAUUAGGUAGUUGGUGGGGUAAAGGCCUACCAAGCCGACGAUCUGUAGCUGGUCUGAGAGGACGACCAGCCACACUGGGACUGAGACACGGCCCAGACUCCUACGGGAGGCAGCAGUGGGGAAUUUUGGACAAUGGGCGCAAGCCUGAUCCAGCCAUGCCGCGUGCGGGAAGAAGGCCUCGGUGUAACGCUUUGUCAGGAGAAUCUCUGGUUAAUACUCGGAGGAUGACGGUACCUGAAGAAUAAGCACCGGCUAACUACGUG